CGGGAUGUAGCGCAGUUGGUAGCGCGCUUGGUUUGGGACCAAGAUGUCGCAGGUUCGAAUCCUGUCAUUCCGACCA
rnacentral:tRNA from 1 species